UAACUGUUUAUAUAAUGCACUUGAAAUAUUGAUAUUUAAAAUUAUCUUAUUUAUAAAUUCAUAUUUUUAAUUUUAGGGAAAUUUUAUGAACUAUCUUAUUUGGUGAAAUGUAAAAAUUUUUUUUUAUUUAAGAUAAGUAUGUCAAAGUAAUUAUUGACUUUGAGUUUUAUCACAAUAUUCCUUAAAACCACGAGCUAGAGAGGAGUAUUUUGCAUGAUCAAAAAAAAAAAAAAAAAAAAGGUUACCAGAUAAAAUAGAAUUAACUUGAAGUAAAGUAUAUAGUCUGUAAUGAUUACAUGAAACCAUUUGUUCCUGAGUUAGUAGCAAAGUUAGACUGCUUUGCAGUUGUUUAGGAAAAGACCUCACUUGAAGAGUAAGCACAAGGAGAAUUUAGAACUUUGGGACCUCUACUAAGCAGAACGUAUUACUGACACCAAAUACAUCAACUUAACCUGCCCCUAGUAUCCUGAUACUGCCUAAUAUAUUCAAGGCCUCUUCAUAUAUUUUGUAUUUGAAAUGAAUCCAUUAAGUGCUUUUAAAAAAUAAUAAUCAUAGGCAUGUAUUACCCUGAUAUUUCUCUCCUACAUAUGCAUUCCAUGAGGUUCUCUCUUCAAAGUGCCAAUAUAGCUUAGAGCACCAGCUCUUGCACUCUGGCUCUCCUCACAUAAAAUUUUCAGUGCAUUUGUUUCCUACUUCUUGUCUUUUCAAACUGAAUCAUUUACUUCUAAUAAAUGUUAGAAAGCUAGGAAGCCGCUCUGCCACUAAGUCAUUUUGAUUAGACAUCUCUGUUUUCCCUUUAAUUCAUCUGCUGCUCAUCUCCAAGUUUAUUUCUCUCCAAUGAACUGUGGUAGGCAAACCCAAUAUUUUUCUCUUGCUUUUAACCUUCUCUACCCUAAUCAUUUCUUUCUUACUGCCCGACAGAAUGUCUUUUCGAAAAAACUCACUUAAUAGUGAUAUCUAAAAUGGGUUAAUGUGUAAAAGGACAAUGCAAGAAUCCUCAUAGUUCCUUUAUGGUCUGGUCACUUUAUCUUUGUACACCUAGUUCUAGACUUCCUCACUUUUUAAUCCACUUCUUUACUACUUUCUGUGAUUUAAAUAUCAGAAUUUCUUGGCACUGAUCCUUCUGCAUAUAUAUUUCUUGAGCUGCUCAUGGCUAAUGUAGACUUCUAUCAAGUUUGCACUUGCCCUCAGCUUAUUUCUCCUCUAAUAACUCCCUAGGAGAGGGUUCAUUUACUCUCCAAACUCCAACCACUGCCUCUACCCAGUAGGUACAGCCUAUAGCUCUGGCAAAACCUCUAUAAAAUGUAAUAUUGACAAGUUAAUUUCCACUUCAGGGAACUAUAGUGAAUUUUAAAAUGUUUUUGUUAUUCAUAAUUCUGACAUCUCUAAUUUUUUUAUAAAAAUUGCAAUUAUGAUAUUCUCACAAAGACGCCUGUGUUUUUCUGUUGCCUAUAAGCAGAUUGUAGUAUAAGCAUAUUUAGUUAUUUUACUAUCUCUGGGUAGUGACCUGCUUUUUUCUCCAUCCCAUGGGGUACCAUAUGUUUUGUAGGUUUUCUUAUUGACCUCCUCUUUCCCAUUUUAAUAUUGGCCUCAUGGACUCAUUUACUUCUAGGACUUUAAAAAAUUGUUUGCUAUUUGUUCAAAAUGAGAACUUACUAUGUAGAUCUGGGUGGUCUUGUUCUCACUGUGUAGCCCAGGUUACCCACAAACUUGUAGAAAUUGAAUUCUAUCAAGCUUGAUUACUGGGAAAAGAGCUAGGCAACAACAUGCCCAGAUUAUGUUUGGCUUCUGUUGUUGAUUGUUUGUCUCCAAUGACCCCAUCCUAUCAUUCUAAGUCUAGAGAGUUUUGAUGUCUUCUGUUUGAUAUAUAUGCACUUUGGUUUCUUUUAUUCUUAAAUUUGGGCUCCAACUGAAUUAAUCUUAUGAUUCUACCAAUGUUGUCUUUUAAAUCUCUAGUUUCUUUUUUUUUUUUUUUUAAAGAAUGGAUCUUUAACACCCACUUCUUAAAAGAGUAGAUGUACAACACUUAAAUUUUAUUGGCUACCCCCUCUGCUGUGUGUUCAGUACUGUACAAAGAAGUUUGCCUGUUGUACUAGGUUAUUGCUCAUGAAAGCUCCCUUGGCUUACAUAGUUAUUACUCUUGUUUCUUCUGAUGUGAAAAUUAAUGUACAUACAUGGAAAAUAGCUUGCCUUUGAUCACCUGGCUGGUUCAGAGUAGAGUAAACUUAGGUUUGGAAUUGCACACAUACAUAUAAACAUUUUCUUGAUUUCGAAGAUGCUGCUUGAGUGGGCUGCAGGGUGCUGCAGUUGCAGUCUUCCCAGGAAAAUGGCCAUGGAGGAAGCUUGGCUUUCUACACUGAGUGUCUUGUCAACUAUCACAGCACAAAAUAAUAAGAUAGCAGAUGCAUUGAUAAGCUAAUGCCUUUGUCAGUGAUUAAUACACAUUUGAUACUGUGAGCAUGAUUUAGCACUAACUGUAAAUUCUUAAAGUGGGUGAGACUAUCUCAUUGUGAUUACUUGAGUCAUGGAUACUUGAGCUGUGGAAGACAUCCACGUGUCAUUAUUCAAAAUCUACAAUAAAAUUCUACCUAGUUUGCAGGCUAGGCAAAAUAUCAUUAUUUAUACAGAUAACAAUUGCCAGUUAGAAGGUUAUCAUUAAAGUAUGUGCUUUUAUUAGAAACAUUCUAGGAGCACUAGGCUAGUAAUUGUUUAAGAUUUUACCAUUUUCAUUAUUGCAAAAUAACACAAUUUUGACUGCAUCAUGUUGCUUGUUGCUGAGUCCAAAAUGCUACAUUUCAAGACAGGGCCCAAUCUAACUCAGUGAUUUGCUUAAGCCUAGUGUGCAUUCCAUUGCUUUUUUUUGGUAACAGUGAAGAAAAUAUAUCAGGGAAAUUACUUCUUUAUGCUUAGUCACUUAGUCUUAGGGUAAUUUCUCAAGUGUGCUUUUAUGCUUUUCU
rnacentral:lncRNA from 1 species